rnacentral:lncRNA from 1 species
GAUGCUAUCCUGGUUCCAUGCACCACAACCACAGACUCAAGGUAUUGCCUCGGGAUGAGGAAGGUAGCACAAUCUUGAAUUUGGAGCACACUCUGCACACUGUAGGAGGUGGCUCAUCUUAUGCCGUGCCCAGGUCCCUAACACUCCCCCUACCAGACUUGCUGGGUUCUUCCCAGGAAGGUGAUCAGAAAACAAUAAAAGUAGUAGUAAACAUGAAUAAUUUCCAAGUCUGCAUAGGUUCCCAAACUUCAUUAAUGUUGCCAUCCAAAUUAUGUAUACAUAUAACUUAAGGAGUUAGCACUUUCCUAAGAUAAUUUACGAUGAAAGAAUGAAGAUUUCAAUAACAUUGCUAAUGCUGCAUCUCUUUUCUCUAUUCCUGAUCUACAACCUUGAAUCAGAUUCUCAAAUAAAAUCAGAUGCAGCCAGAUACAGCCAUGUAAACCCAUGCAUAUUUUCAUAGCAACAUUAUAUGCAACUUGAAUUUAAUUACUUACCAAGACUUUAAACAAGGUCGUGACAUUACCUUUCAGGGACUUCCUAAAAUAUCUUUCUGAGCACCUUCUUAAAUCCUUUCAUGAAGUACACAAGGGAUCUUUAGUUAUAGACCUUCUCUAUCAGGACCCAAGCUUCUGAUACACAUUCCCACAUUCCAUGUUUUGUCUUCAGUGGCAGAAUAAGUAAAAGUCAAGGCAAGAUGAGGAGCAGUAGUGAAAAUCCCAGGAAACACAGCCUACAACCUCCAGAACCAUAUGGAACCACUACAGUAGCUCUUCUCCAAUAAGAUCACACUUGUCUCCUUGUGCCAAAAAAAGGCCAAAUCAGCUAUCUGUUUAACUUCACUUUGAUCUACUUAUUACAGUAAAUCUGUAUUAUAUAUUAUUAUAAAUUAAGAAAUAAACUCAAAGAAAUAUUAACUGACUGACCUAAGGAGACCACAGCAGUCGGGAAGUUAUACCUUUUGGGAAUCAGGGUCAUGGCUUUUGAAGUCAAGCAGAUCAGGCUUUGAAAACUGACUUCACUAAAUAUGGAUGAUAGUUAACAUCUAUAAGGCUUAUUUUUCAUACCCAUAAAAUAUGGCUAAAAAUACAUUUCUCCAAAAGUUCAUAUGAAAAUUAAAUGAUAUAAUGUAUAGAAAGCACCCAGGAUGGUACAUGGCCCAUAAUAAGAAUUUAAUAAAGGUUGACAUGAUUAGUUAUUCAUGGGUAAAGUACCCUUUGGAAACUACAUUUUGACCUAAUUAAAUGAUAAGGAAUUGCAAUCAUGGUGCAAACCACUCCCCACAUCUAAAAUAAACCCUCGCAGCUGGAAUAUACACACAUUUUUUCUUGUUCCUUCCUCACUGACAAUGGAGAAGAGCUGGUCACAUUCAUUUGUUUAAUAACACUUCACAUAACAGAAAUCACUGUUAACGGGCAUCUCUACUUACUCCACCUCAGGCUAAAAAAAAAAAAAAAAGCCAUCUCAUUUAACCUUUUCAAAUUGGGCUUCUUUUCCAACUCCUUAAUGAUCUUCACGGCUCACCUUUGAACACUCCACAUUUUCUCUCUUAAUUAUGAAAGCCCCAAAUGGAUGCAGUGCUAUAAGCCUGCAAAGCAUUGGCAUAUUCAUAAGUUACCAGGGUGGAAAAUGAAGAUAGGGAAGAAUUUCAGUUUUAUGGCCAGAUAUCAGGCUGCCUUCAAACCCAGUAGCACUGUGAUGCAAAUCCCAGAGAGUACCAACUUGAAAUGAAGAUCUCUUUCGUUGCCAUGUAAAUAUCUGGUCUUUUCUUAUUAGGGACCUUUUUUUUUUUUUCCCCUACCUUAAGUUUAUUUAUCCAAGUAAGGUAAUAAUGCAGAAAAUUAAGGAAAUAAUAAUAAUAAUUUACUAUUAUGGGGAUGCAGAAACAAGGUCAUUGUCACCAAAAUUAAUUGUAUCUAUUAUCCAUUUCAUGCUUUCUCUUUUUAUGGACUACCCUCUCAAUUAUUCAUAUAAUUUUGGAACUGGAAAACACACUAAUGAUAAUUAAUGUCAGCAUUUUUAUAUACAAUGGUGAAAAGGCUGGCAUGGUCAAAAAGAUGAGAAACUUAGUGUACCAUGCCCAUCUUUUGGAAACUCCCAACAUUCACUGGUAUAUGAAAGAAUGAAAAGUACAACAACUAACAAAGCUGUUCAGUUCACCUGACUCAAACUUAUUUCAUACUGGAACCUUUGGGGGAUCCAUAUUAUACUCACAUCCAAUAGAAAUUGUGUUCUGAUGGAAUCCACUUUGAAAAUGUUAAUAUCAUUCAAAUUUAUAACUAUACACAAGGAAGCUGAAGCUUCAAGUGGUUGCUUCUCUUUUAUUUUCAUCCCUUUCAUUUUCACUCCUCUAAAAUUCUACUAUCCUUCUUCACGCAUGUGCCACCUUUGCUCCACAGAUAUGUCUUACUAUAUUUUUACCCAAAAUGGCUGAACAAGCUUUCUUCUCUCUUCAACAAGGAGAAAUAGCAAAAAUGCAAUUACUGUUUAGAAAUCAUUUCUACACUAUUUCCCAAAUGUCUCCUCUCCAUAUACUUCUAAAUACAUGUUGAUGCAAAUGGUUCUGGAGGGGUUGUGUAUUUUCUGGCUACAGUCUAGAGACUGUAGUCUUUGAUCUAUCAUUGAAUCCCUAUCAUUGAAUAGGGAUUUAUGUAGCCAGAUUUACUAGUUUCAACUUCUGCUAACAUGUGAGGAAACAACAAAGCAUUAGGUCACCAUGAAGUCAUAAAAUAACCCAAAGCUUGAUCAAUAUUAAUUUAUAAAUGCAUGUGUAAUGCACACACGUCAUUUUUCAGCUGGUGAUUUCUAUUACCCAGAAAAAGCCUCAUGGAAGAGAAUUAUAAAAGUUCUUUCCUAUCAGUCUUGAAACUGAAGGCCAAAGAAAGCAUCCAUUUUAAGAAAGAGGUCGCUUUUUAUUAUUGUGUGUGACCCGAGGCAAGUGUCUUCAUUUCCACUCUAAAGAACAACCCAUUUAAAACUGAUGUUGUCACCCUCAUGUAUCAGAUAAGAGCAAAAUACUAUCAAAAACCUGAAUAAGAAAGAGCUUGAGAAUUGAUUUUCAUGUUGCUGUGACCAAUCUGUUUUUCAUUUGUUUCACUAACAUCAGCACUAAAUAUAUAAAAAGAAGGGGUGUGUGUGUGUGUGUGUGUGUGUGUGCAUGGUACUGUAUUUUUGUUUUACCCUAAGAUCACCCCCACAAAGCUUUAGCUUUCUGAUGAAAGGGGAAAAAAAGGAAAAACUACCCUCAUCAUUGUCCUAUUGGUCCCAGACCCAAAUUACUCCAUUCUCCCAAGUUAGCCAAUGCCUUGAAUGUCUAAAGCACUACACUUGGCUCCUGAAAAUAUUGCCUCCUUGGUAAAUCACCCACACCACUGGGCCCUUAAAGAGCCAGGCAUGCCUUGAAAUUUACUGCCACAAGCGUAUUUACUUUCUAAGGUUUUCAAUUCUCUUGAGCCUUUUCCCCAAACAAGGCUUCUGAUGUUUAUCCCUGCAGAGGGCAACCAAGAGCCACACUGCAGGACAGAUCCAUCCUUGUACCCUGAAGGAACAGUGAGCUAUGAUUCCUUAGCAUGAGCCUUUGUAGGACCUGACCAGCUAAUCCGAGUCAUGUGAAUUGCUUUAAGCUGACCCAUCUUUCCUUUUUAAUUUAACAGUAUGUGCAACUGCUUGGGAAAGACCAAUUAGGCUGACCCCUCAUCCCUUCAAAGGCGUGAUUGUUCUGACGCUUGGUCAAAGACACAUGCUAUACACACAGACAUGCUCUAGAAGCCAGAUUCCCAUACAGACCUACUAGCCUUCUGCGUUUCACUGACAUCCAGCCAUCUCCUUCUCUAUCCAGGUAGAUGUAAUCUCAUUUGGCAUCUCAAAGUUUGGCUAACCCAUCAGAUUUCCUUUAGCCCAUUUUACAACAAGUUUAUUUCAUGAAUUAACCUCCUUUUGUGAGGUCGAAUGGCCAUAAGCCAGAAUGAUAUUGGCUUGGCAGCGAAGAGUUUUAUAGCUAUGUCGUGGCAUAUUUUAAUUUUCCAGCUAAAAUUGUCUUGUGUGCUCUCUGCAUUCCCAUUUGUAAUGCACAGCACAUUGACUUUGAAGCUGACAGUGUCCUGUUCCUCUUCAUUACAGUAACCCAGGACUGCACCAUUAAACAUACAGACAGCCAGAAGACCCCAGGGAGACCCCUACCCAGUUGCCCCAUCAGGCAUAGCCUGCUUCAGUUCAAAGAUAAUACUAGCCACUUCCAUACCCAGAAAAAUAAAUUGACUUAUUAUAGGAGAAUGCACAAAGCUCAAAAUAGAAUUUCUUAGAGAUUUGUGGAAGUUUCUCAUGUGACAUUUGUUUAUUUAAUUGUUUUUUUCUGCUUCUAAUUCCCAUAUAGUAGGUGCUUUGUGAAGACCCACACUCCCAGUCAAUUUUCAAAUUACGUUUAGAACACUUUAACUUCACUAAUAGCACCUCGGGGGUUGAGAUCCACUGGGAAGCACAGAGAACAUAGGCAAAUGGAGAAAUUAGACCAUUUUAUAGUGAUGCCUUAGACCAGUGUUCUCAAAGUGUGAUCGUGGGGCCAGAAACAUCCAUGUCAAUAUCUCUUAGAACCAUCUAGAAAGGCAAAUUCCCAGGCCCUACUCCAAACCUGCUGUAUUACAAAACCUGGGGGUGGGUUUCAGCCAGGUGUGCUUGAAUAGCCCUCCAGGGGAGUCUGAUGAAAGCUAAAUUUUGAGAACCACAGCUUUCACCAUUUUUGAGGCUUUCAGGAUUGACAAAUGAUUUUGAUAUACAGCAGUUUCACUUCUUUUCACGAUCACUUCAUUAAGCUGGCAGAACAGAUAGAAGUUUCUCCAACUUUCUCCGAAGAGGAAGACACACUUUAGAAGGGGAAUUUGUUCAAGAUCAUUCUGUUGCUAAAUGUUGAAGCAAGACUGGAUCCCAGUGUUUCUAGUUCAACAUUCAUUCCAUGGUGAACUCCUACCUGAGCAGCAAAAUGACUACCAAAUAGAUCAAGAUGCCAGGGAGGCUCACCUGGUACUAGUGCCAUAUUGGCUGGUCUGGCCAGGUAGAACCUCUAAAUGGAUGAGCAUGAAAGUAAUACUUAAAUUAAAUACAUAAAUGAAAUGAAAUAAAAAUUAGAUUAAGGGCAGGAUGCAAAGCUAAGGAAUGAGGAGAAUCCAGAACUCCAACAAGUACAGUAUGGAUGGUGAGAGAAAAGCAAGCAUGCCAUGAAAAGCUAGGAAAAAAGGGAAAAGCCUACUUCAAAGAUGGAAGAGAGCUCUACUUGGACAUUUUUCUUAGGCCUUUUGGCAGGAGAAAAAUCAUUCCAGUUCAGAACAAUGUCUAUGAUAUAUACAGAAGCCACAAAAAACUGUUUGGGCCAAAAAUACUUUCUAGGCAGUUCUAUUCCUCCUUAUUUAUCUUUGCAUCUCAAGUGCCAAAAUCAGGGUUUCUAAGAGUGAGAACAGACCAAUAAUAUCAGAAGUAUUAGAGCACUUGUUUAAAAUUCAAACUUUUUUUUUUUUUUAAUUUUACGGCCAUACCUGUGGCAUAUGGAAGUUCCUGGGCCAGGGACUGAAUCUGAGCUGCAGCUGCAAACUCCGUCACAGCUGCAGAAAUGCUGAAUCUUUAACCCACUGCACCAGGCCAGGGAUCGAACCAGCACCUCAGCAGCCACUCAAGCCACGCAUUUGGAUUCUUAACCUACUGCACCAUGGCAGGAAUUCCAUAAAAUUCAGAUUUCUGGCCACGCAUUACAUUUACCAAAUCUGGAAGCGGGGCACAAUUUGGGGUACAUGUGGGUAUGUUUGUGUCUUAACUAAAUAGCAUUUUGUACUUUAAAAAAAAAAAAA